rnacentral:tRNA from 1 species
GGCUACGUAGCUCAGUUGGUUAGAGCAGCGUCUUCAUAAGGCGACGGUCGCUGGUUCAAAUCCAGCCGUAGCCA